rnacentral:lncRNA from 1 species
CCCGGUCCGAGACAGGUCAACAAUCGUGGAAGGCCCAGGAUGGUCGCUAUAACGUCUUUUUCGGCACAGUAACAAGGUCCAACGAUGAAUCUAACAUGGAAGACGCUCGAUCAGUGAGCUAUUACGCACUCUUUCAAGGGUUUUGUCUUGGCUCUCUUCUUUGACAAAUAGGACUUUGCUUAGAUGGUUUGGCACGCUUAGCUUUCGAUCGAGAAAGACGGGAAUUUGUGAAAGCGGGCUUAUUGCCCCAUGUCUUACCUAUAAAAAAAAGGCAGGAACUUAUUAGCACAGAUGACUUGCUUGCAUACCUUCUCCGAGAUAUGGAAAGGGGGUUCAGAUACAGGCUGGCAUUAAAG